rnacentral:rRNA from 1 species
UACGUAGGGUGCGAGCGUUAAUCGGAAUUACUGGGCGUAAAGCGUGCGCAGGCGGUUCGUUGUGUCCGAUGUGAAAGCCCCGGGCUUAACCUGGGAAUGGCAUUGGAAACUGGCGGGCUUGAGUGCGGCAGAGGGGGGUGGAAUUCCGCGUGUAGCAGUGAAAUGCGUAGAGAUGCGGAGGAACACCGAUGGCGAAGGCAGCCCCCUGGGUCGACACUGACGCUCAGGCACGAAAGCGUGGGGAGCAAACAGG